rnacentral:lncRNA from 1 species
UUAGAUAUUGUUAUGAUGUGUAAAUUUUAUCAAUAUUGUUGUUAUUAUUUAUAAAUUUUAGUAUUAUUAAUUAAUUUUAAUAAUAUUUGAUUUUUUUCUUUGAUGAAUGAAUUAAUUAGGAAAAUAACCUGCGAUUCUCUGCCCCUAAUGGGAUUCCCCUCCCUUGCUCCCGCUCCAUCUAAAUAGGAAAUGGAUGGGGAUGGAGGAUGAGAUAGAGAUGAAGACGAGGAAGCACUUCCUGCCCCGUUGACAUCCCUAUCUAUGAGUUGAAUGUAAGAUUCAUAUCAAAGAAUUUUAAUGAAUCGUAGUUUUCUGCGUCUUCUUUUUGGCUUUCAUCUAUUGUCGACAUUGCAGACUACAGCUUAGCUUAAAAAUAAAAAUUCAUCAAUAACAAAAAAAUUUGAUUCCUCCGAACUCGAAGAUUACACUGACUAUUCUGUUUUCUUCUUCGAGCUCAUGUCAUGAUCUUGACAAGAUAUCUAUUGAGCUCAUAGCAACCAUUAACAUUUUAUUGUUUUUAAUUUAUAGCUACAUAGAUAUGCUGAUAUUAUCUUUGACUUAUAGAUUUAGCUGCAUACAGACGAUCCAUUGAAAUGAAUGACAUGAAUAAAUGUGACAUGAUACAAUAUAUUGGACGAACAAAUCUAACAUAAUUAACAAAUGUGUUUGAUCUUAUCCCAAGUGAUUCUUUCCGCUGAUCCUUUGUUCCAAUGUUCAGACUUAUCCCAUUGUGUUUUCCAUUUAGCUAGGCAGGCAUUAAAUGAAAGGAAAUUUGGGGGAAAUCAAGUCCUUGCAGUUUCUUAUCCAGAGAACAAGUUUGCUCAGGGAGACUUGGAUGGCUAGUUGCUUCCAAUUUUGCUCCACCAGUUGUUUCCACGUUUACUGUAUCACAGUUCAGUUAGGAGCAAUACUCUUCACCAUGUUUGGACAUCUUAGCAUACAUUGAUUAGAUUCAUGUGCUAACCAGUCUAGUGUGACAAUUUGGCACUCACUUUUUUCUUUUUGACAGGCAUCUGCUUAAGAGAAACUCAUUUCAAUGGGACUAUAAUCAGUAGAUGUAACACAAUUCCAAUAGUUCU